CUGGUCUGAGAGGAUGAUCAGUCACACUGGAACUGAGACACGGUCCAGACUCCUACGGGAGGCAGCAGUAGGGAAUAUUGCGCAAUGGGGGAAACCCUGACGCAGCAACGCCGCGUGGAGGAUGACACUUUUCGGAGCGUAAACUCCUUUUCUUAGGGAAGAAUUCUGACGGUACCUAAGGAAUAAGCACCGGCUAACUCCGUGCCAGCAGCCGCGGUAAUACGGAGGGUGCAAGCGUUACUCGGAAUCACUGGGCGUAAAGGGCGCGUAGGCGGAUUAUCAAGUCUCUUGUGAAAUCUAAUGGCUUAACCAUUAAACUGCUUGGGAAACUGAUAGUCUAGAGUGAGGGAGAGGCAGAUGGAAUUGGUGGUGUAGGGGUAAAAUCCGUAGAUAUCACCAAGAAUACCCAUUGCGAAGGCGAUCUGCUGGAACUCAACUGACGCUAAGGCGCGAAAGCGUGGGGAGCAAACAGGAUUAGAUACCCUGGUAGUCCACGCCCUAAACGAUGUACACUAGUUGUUGGGGUGCUAGUCAUCUCAGUAAUGCAGCUAACGCAUUAAGUGUACCGCCUGGGGAGUACGGUCGCAAGAUUAAAACUCAAAGGAAUAGACGGGGACCCGCACAAGCGGUGGAGCAUGUGGUUUAAUUCGAAGAUACGCGAAGAACCUUACCUGGGCUUGAUAUCCUAAGAACCUUUUAGAGAUAAGAGGGUGCUAGCUUGCUAGAACUUAGAGACAGGUGCUGCACGGCUGUCGUCAGCUCGUGUCGUGAGAUGUUGGGUUAAGUCCCGCAACGAGCGCAACCCACGUAUUUAGUUGCUAACGGUUCGGCCGAGCACUCUAAAUAGACUGCCUUCGUAAGGAGGAGGAAGGUGUGGACGACGUCAAGUCAUCAUGGCCCUUAUGCCCAGGGCGACACACGUGCUACAAUGGCAUAUACAAUGAGACGCAAUACCGCGAGGUGGAGCAAAUCUAUAAAAUAUGUCCCAGUUCGGAUUGUUCUCUGCAACUCGAGAGCAUGAAGCCGGAAUCGCUAGUAAUCGUAGAUCAGCCAUGCUACGGUGAAUACGUUCCCGGGUCUUGUACUCACCGCCCGUCACACCAUGGGAGUUGAUUUCACUCGAAGCCGGAAUACUAAACUAGUUACCGUCCACAGUGGAAUCAGCGACUGGGGUGAAGUCGUAACAAGGUAACCGUAGGAGAACCUGCGGUUGGAUCACCUCCUUUCUA
rnacentral:rRNA from 1 species